GAUGAACGCUGGCGGCGUGCCUAAUACAUGCAAGUCGAGCGAACAGAUGAGGAGCUUGCUCCUCUGACGUUAGCGGCGGACGGGUGAGUAACACGUGGAUAACCUACCUAUAAGACUGGGAUAACUUCGGGAAACCGGAGCUAAUACCGGAUAAUAUAUUGAACCGCAUGGUUCAAUAGUGAAAGGCGGUUUUGCUGUCACUUAUAGAUGGAUCCGCGCCGCAUGAGCUAGUUGGUAAGGUAACGGCUUACAAAGGCAACGAGGCGUAACCGACCUGAGAGGGUGAUCGGCCAGCCUGGAAGUGAGACACGGCCGAGACACCUGCGGGAGGCAGCGGUCGGGAAUCUUACGCGAUGGGGGAGUGCGUGACAGAGCAACGCCGCGUGAAGGAUGAAGGUGUUCGGAUCGUAGAGCUCUGUUGGUCGUAAAGAAGAAAUGUGUAAGUAACGAUGCAGGUCAUGACGGUACCUGAUCAAGAAGCCCCGGCUAACUACGUG
rnacentral:rRNA from 1 species